rnacentral:rRNA from 1 species
GUCGACGGUUAUGGGAUUAUCAUAGUUUUUAUGAUAGUGGCGCACGGGUGCUUAACGCGUAUGCAACCUACCUUCAAUUGGGGGAUAACUCUGGGAAACUGGAAUUAAUACCGCAUAAUAUAGUAAUGCUUCAUGGCAUAGCUAUUAAAGAUUUAUCGAUUGAAGAUGGGCGUGCGUGACAUUAGUUAGUUGGUGAGGUAACGGCUCACCAACACUUCGAUGUCUAGGGGUUCUGAGAGGAUGAUCCCCCACACUGGUACUGAGAUACGGACCAGACUCCUACGGGAGGCAGCAGUAGGGAAUAUUGGUCAAUGGACGCAAGUCUGAACCAGCCAUGCCGCGUGCAGGAC